rnacentral:misc_RNA from 1 species
GCAAACUUGGUCAUUUAGAGGAAGUAAAAGUCGUAACAAGGUUUCCGUAGGUGAACCUGCGGAAGGAUCAUUACUGUGUUUUGACCUUCGGGUCAUUUUCACACCCCUUGUGUUAACCUCUGGUUUCUUCGGCAAAUUAUUUUUCAUGAAAUAUUUGUCGGAAGAUAUUUAAACUCCACUUUUUUGUUUUACUUGUCUGAGUAACUAUUUUAAUCAUAAAAAAAACUUUUAACGAUGGAUCUCUUGGUUCCGGCAUCGAUGAAGAACGCAGC